rnacentral:rRNA from 1 species
UCCGUAGGUGAACCUGCGGAAGGAUCAUUACAGAAAGUAAACGCGGAUCGAACCGCGAACUUCUAAACCUUUGACGAUUGACUCAUGUUGCCUCGGCGGGUUCUCCCGCCAGAGGAUACAUCAAAACUCCUUUUUUAACGGUGUUGUCUGAGCUACAAGCAACGAAUCAAAACUUUCAACAACGGAUCUCUUGGUUCUGGCAUCGAUGAAGAACGCAGCGAAAUGCGAUAAGUAGUGUGAAUUGCAGAAUUCAGUGAAUCAUCGAAUCUUUGAACGCACAUUGCGCCCCUUGGUAUCCCGAGGGGCAUGCCUGUUCGAGCGUCAUUUCACCACUCAAGCCUGGCUUGGUGUUGGGCGACGUCCCCUUUAGGGACGCGCCUCGAAACGCUCGGCGGCGUGGCACCGGCUUUAAGCGUAGCAGAAUCUUUCGCUUUAAAAGUCGGGGCCCCGUCUGCCGGAAGGCCUACUCGCAAGGUUGACCUCGGAUCAGGCAGGGAUACCCGCUGAACUUAAGCAUAUCAAUAAGCGGAGGAAAAGAAACCAACC